ensembl:lncRNA
UUUUCUCAUUGAUUUUUUUUUUCCUUCACUUUUUUUUUUCCAUUUAAAAAAAAAAUUGUCUUUUUCUUUCGUUCUUUCUUUUAUUUUUCUUUUUCCUCUUAGUUUUCUUUCCCCCCCUUUUCUUUUGUUUCUCUUUUCCUUUUUUUUUUCUUUUUUUUUCUUUUAUUUUUUCCAUCCUUUCAUUUAUUUUUUCUCUUUUUUCUUUUAUUUUUUCCUUCAUUUUAUUUAUGUAUCCUUUCUUCUUUUCAUUUCUGUUUUUUUCCUUCUUUCUUUCUUUCUUUUCUUUUUUUCCCCCUUUCCUUUCUUUUCAUUUUUCCCUUUUCCUUCCCCUUCCCCCUUUCCUUCCCUUGUUUUAAUUUUCCUUUAUUUCUCUUUCCUGUCUCUUUUCCUCUCCUUUAUCUUUUUCUCUUCCCUUACUUCCAUCUAUUCACUUCUCCCACUUCAUUUUCCCUCACUGACUCCACUCCGUUCCUCCCCUCAUUCCCUCACUUCACCAUCACUCCCCCCCUCCAUCUCUCUUUGCCCCCUCCCCACACCCAGCCCAGCAGCAGCAACUCCCCCUGGGAUAUCCCCACGUUCCCGGAGACCUUUGGGGUUUCCUCCUGCCUAUUGGGGUGGGGGCAGUGGGUUUUUAAGCCCCCAAAUGCCCAUUUCAGGGGAAACACCUUUGGUUGCACAGUGAUGCUGCGACGUGCGUCGGUGUAAAGCGGCUCCUGGAAUAGGAGAAGACGAAAGUUGCUCCUGAGUUCGCUGCCUGCAGGGCUGCUGUGGGGAGGCUGCUGCUGGCACGGUGCGAUCUGAGGCUGUGGGAUUUUGGGGUGUGCAGGAGCUCCUCCUCCUGGGAUGGGGACCUGGAUGUGGGAGGGCUGCGGGGGUCGGGAUGUGGGUGCUGGGACGUGGCAUCGGGUGUGGGUGUUGGGGUGCAGACGUUGGGGGAUGUGGAUGUUGUUGGGGAUGCAAAUGUUGAGUUGUGCCGAUGAUGUUGGGGGUGGAGGUGUUGGGAUGCAGGUGAUGCCGGGGGUGCAGAUGUUGGGGGAUGAGGAGGUUAUUGGGGGAUACAGAUGAUGUUGGGAUGCUGAUGUUUGGUGCGGGUGUUGAUGAAUGCAAAUGUUAUUGGGGAUGCAGGUGGUGUUGGGGUACGGAUGAUGUUGGGGUGCAGAUGUGGGGGAAUGCAGAUGUUAUGAGGGGAUGGAGGCAUUGG